rnacentral:lncRNA from 1 species
CGCGGCGCCGCUGGGGCGCUGCUGGUGUACGACAUCACGCGGCGGGAGACGUUCGAGCACCUCUCCUCCUGGCUCGAGGACGCGAGGCAGCACGCCAACCCGAACAUGACCAUCAUGCUCAUCGGCAACAAGUCCGACGUCGCGCACAAGAGGCAGGUGUCGCGCGAGGAAGGGGAGGAGUUCGCCAGGGAGCACGGCCUGGUGUUCCUGGAGACGUCCGCCAAGACCAGCGAUAACGUCGAGGAGGCGUUCAUCAACACCGCGUCGGUCAUCUGCGAGAAGAUCGACGACGGGCUGGACGUGAGCAACGAGUCGCACGGGAUCAAGGUUGGGUACGGCGC